AGGCAUGAGACCAUCGAGGGAUUUUUCUGUACAGCUGUUUCUCAGCCAUAAGACAAGUUGGGAUGCACCAUCCCAAAACAACUCUCUGCCACCUCCUGGAAAGCUCACUUACUGUGGAUAUUACCUGGUGAGCAGGGCUUUGUGGAGAAACAGAAAUGUUAUCUAAAUACAUGAUGGCUCCGCUAAAUGCAUUUCCAAGAUGCCCUGCAGCCAGCCUGGCCAUGAGGGAAACUAGGUGGAAAACACGUGCACUUCCUCCAUUUCUGCAAGCUGGAGCAUGGGUGUGCAGGAAGCCACCUCUGGCUUCAAACACAGAAGAAAACCAUACAGCCAGCAGAAAAGUGGGAAGGAGGGAGCUCUGGCCCCGUCUAGCUGCCAUGGAUGCCUACCGUGUAUUACAGGAGAGAUAAUAAACUUCUAUGUAGUUAAGCCCCUUGAA